rnacentral:lncRNA from 1 species
AAGCGUAUUUUCGUAAUUGAAAAAAUGAGGAAAAUGUUAAUAAGACAUACAAUCCACAAAUGAGAGUGUAAACACUAUAAUUUUGGGCUGCAUACCUUCACAAUUUCAUAAUUAAUUUCUAAAUUUCUAGUAGAAUAUGAUUUGUGGUUGGAAUCUUAAGGGCAAUCUUCUGUUUACGCGACUUAGAUCUAUCAGUGCUCACAAAGGUACAUUGCCUCUAUAUAAAUUCGCUAGUCCUAGCUCUCCCAUCUCACCACUACCCAAAAAAACAUUUGCCCAACAUUGUUUUCAAAUUACCUUGUUGCAUGUCGUCCAUUGGUCUAGUUUUGCGGAAGUUUACGUGCAGCAAAAGAAGCAAGAGGAGGAAACUGAAAAGGAAUGGAGGGGGGGAAGAGAGAGAAGCGGAGAGGGUGGCAAGUGAAGCCGGUAGCUGUAAACGUGGGAAAAGAGCACCCCGGUAGCUCUCCUUUGUUUUCGCGUUACGUGGGGGAGUAGGGAGGAAAAGAAACUAAGUUCUCAGAAUACUUUAUUAGUGGUCAUGGAACCAUGGUUCCCAGUGCUUCGCAACACACUUUUGUGUGGUCUUUAUUAAUAUAUUAUUAAGGCACCUUGGAUUAGUGUUCCAUACUUACUGAAUAAUUUUUCGACUUGGGGUUUAAUUGGUUGGAGCAGAUUUAGCCGAUAGAUUGUGGUGAAAAGCCCAUACCAUAAAAUUGCAUUAGCUGUCUGUGUUUUGUCAAUGGAUUGCUAAUUCGGGAACCAAUCUACCUUCUACGAGCAGCGGCCAUUAAGGCGGAAGGGAAAAACUACUUUUCAUUAAUAUGUUAAUUAAAGAAUAUGGGACGGAGAGAUAGGAUUUUAAUUUUAGGAAAUAAUACCAACAACGUUUUUUCAAAAAUAUAAGAAGGGAUUACAAUAUGAAGUUCUACUUAAAAAAAGUCAAAAUAGCAUCAAACAAAUAAUGAAGCAUGUUUUUUAUAAUCCAAUUAAUAUGUACAAAAUAAUGAUUUAUCGAAAUCGAUAUACUAAAAUAACGAUCUUGCUUAUGUCAUUUAAUAUUUACCAAUAUUAUUAAGGUCAUCCGAAAUGAAAACGAAAUUAUAAAAAGGACAAAAUGACUACUAACAAAAAAUACAACUUUGAUAAUACAUUAUAACAAACGAUUAUCAUUUGGAUAUUUUUAUAAAAAAUCUAGAGGUGCCGUGAAGCCAGACAUUUGAUUCAAUGCUCGUGCGAACAACACUUGAGUGUUGUUUGAUAAAAUUAAAUGUUGAAAAUUGAAAAAUACUUAAAAAAUAAGUAUGAAUUUGGAUGUUGAAUGUUUUAAAUUCAAAAGUAUCUGUUUGAUAGAAAUAUAAAGUUAUGCAUUAAAUAAUUGAUAUAUUCAAUAAACAACACUUGAUUUAAAUUAAUGUUGAAAUUACUUAAAAAAUAAAUAUUGAAAACGAGCAGAAUAUUUAUGUAAAAAAACCUGUUAUAGUAUAAAUAUUGUAUUGAAUUAAAAUUAAUUGAUAUAUUCAAUAAACUUAAGCUAAUUUAUAUGUUCAAUAAAAUAAAUUUUUUAGUGAAUUUGCUCCUUUUUUUUGGGAUCUGUAAUUUGCUCUUUUAAUUAUAAAAGAAGUGGUAGUAACUAGGGGGGGGCCAUGUAGUGGCUUUGUUUUUGGGUAGGAGGUAAUGGUAGGGAUAGGGUAAUAAUGGUACUGAUUGUGGCAAAUGAAUGGUGAUUAUUAUGGUGGUUGAGGGAGAGAUGUGUGAAGGUAUAGAAGUGGUGGGAGUGGUAGAAUGGUAGUAGAGGUUAGAGGGUGGUCGGGUGGCGGCGGUGGUAGUUUUGGUGACAGAGAGAUUGUGGUGGAGAUGGAUGGUGAUGUAGGUGUAGUGGUGAAUAGGUGGUGUUGGUAUUAGAAGGGUUUAGCGGUAUGGUAUUGUGGUGGUUGGGGAAUGGCAACAGAGGGGGAGAAGGCAGAGGAAGCAAAUAGUAGCGGAUUGUAGUGGUAGUGAUAGUGAUGGUAGUAAAGAAGAUGGUGGUGGAGACGAAUGGUGAUUGUAACAGUGAGAUGGUGAUCGUGGUGGGAUGGAUGACGAUCGAUUGUUGUUUAGCGGUUAUUGCAGUGGUACAAAUGCUGGAGGGUAAGCAUAGGCAGUGGGUGAUAGUGGUAGUGGUUAUAGUAUGGUAGUAGAUGGAUGGUGGCGUUUUUUUUUUGGUUUUUUGUGUUGUUAUGGUGGUAGUGUGGUAGUGAAGGGAAGCACAUAGGUAGCAGUGGUUCAGUGGGGUGGAGGGUUUAUUAUAGUAGCGAUGGCGGUAGUAAUGGCGUUGGAAAGGUCGUGGAGGGUGGUGGUAGUUGUGGUUUUAAUUAAUAGAGGAGGGUGGUGGUGGGCCAACAACGACAGUAGUGGAUGGAUGGUGAUGCAUAGUAAAAGUGGCAGUGAGAAAAAAAGGUAAUGACGAGGGUGGUAGUGGCGAUGGAAGGCGGAGAUGGUUGUAGUCAUAUUGAUUACUUAC